GGAGAAGUGACCGAGAGGCCGAAGGUGCUCGCCUGCUAAGUGAGUAUACCCCACAAGGGUAUCUGGGGUUCGAAUCCCCACUUCUCCGCCA
rnacentral:tRNA from 3 species